GUUUGUUACAAGGGAUUGGAUGGGAUUGGACUGUCUUAUUUCUUAAAACAAGAGUUAUCCCAUGUUUGGCUGAAAUAAGGACUCAAUUAAAUGAGACUAUGUAGUCCCCGAAACCACCUCCACACCUUCUUACACAGAGACUCCGAAAUUCAUCAGACUCUUGAAGCAGGUCUUAUACAACGCCAAAUCUCUUCUCCAUCGUUCUUCGCUUCAGCCUCGUCUCUCACUCAUUUUUUCAAGCUUCAGUCUCCUUCGAUUGCUCUUGUUCAGGUGAUGUAUGCAUUCCUUGAUCAGCCAAAUGGAAAUUAUGGAUGAAGUUUGAUCUUGGUAAGGGCAGGGGAAUGGAUGUCUGCAUCAAAACAACAGUUAAAACAGAUAAAAUAAGCUCAGACACUUGUGGCUCUAAUGGGAAUGCCAUACUGUAACCCAAGCGUAAAAAAAGAAACUGAGGUCUCACCAUUUAAGUUCAAAGGGAAGAGGAAGAACAUGAGCCUUGCCUUUUGGAGAUAGGAACAUUUUGCUGUUAGUUUUGUAUUUUGUAAAGUUCAGUCACCAAACUAUCAAUGUAUGUUAAAAUAUUCAAUGAAAAUGAUCUUUUAGUA